GAAAUUAGUAAGUACAAAAUGGGGAAAGAAGUUCUUUUGGGUUUAUCCUCAUCUGAAACAGACACAGGAAAAGCAACACUAUCCUCAACACUCGAAUGAGAAGCCUCCCCUACUCGAGGCUAGGUUAAGUUCCCCCUAUUAGCAAGGGUAAAUUGAUCGGUCUAAUGACUGACUAACAUGGGAACCAAGCACUUCUUCUUCUUACAUGCCUUCUCUAACUCUUUGACAGUGGUAUAGUCAUUCUAAUUUAGAAUCGGUUUCCUUUGUGCUUAGUGGGAU
rnacentral:misc_RNA from 1 species